rnacentral:rRNA from 1 species
UCCUACGGGAGGCAGCAGUGGGGAAUAUUGGACAAUGGGCGCAAGCCUGAUCCAGCCAUGCCGCGUGAGUGAUGAAGGCCUUAGGGUUGUAAAGCUCUUUCAACGGUGAAGAUAAUGACGGUAACCGUAGAAGAAGCCCCGGCUAACUUCGUGCCAGCAGCCGCGGUAAUAAUCUC